GACGAACGCUGGCGGCGUGCUUAACACAUGCAAGUCGAACGGAAAGGCCCUGCUUUUGUGGGGUGCUCGAGUGGCGAACGGGUGAGUAACACGUGAGUAACCUGCCCUUGACUUUGGGAUAACUUCAGGAAACUGGGGCUAAUACCGGAUAGGAGCUCCUGCGGCAUGGUGGGGGUUGGAAAGUUUCGGCGGUUGGGGAGGGACUCGCGGCUUAUCAGCUUGUUGGUGGGGUAGUGGCUUACCAAGGAUUUGACGGGUAGCAGGCCUGAGAGGGUGACCGGCAACAUUGGGACUGAGAUACGGCACAGACUCCUACGGGAGGCAGCAGUGGGGAAUAUUGCACAAUGGGCGGAAGCCUGAUGCAGCAACGCCGCGUGCGGGAUGACGGCCUUCGGGUUGUAAACCGCUUUAGCCUGUGACGAAGCGUGAGUGACGGUAAUGGGUAAAGAAGCACCGGCUAACUACGUG
rnacentral:rRNA from 1 species